AUGUUGAUGCAAGGCUACUUCGCGGAGAAUCCAACAUAUCCGCCACACCUCUUCCGUAGAAGGUACCGAAUAUGUCGAUCCCUCUUUGUGAAAAUUGUUCAAGCUUGCGAGGCCAGCUGUCGAUAUUUCACUCAAAGAAGAAAUGUCACGGGCUUGAAGGGAUUUAGUGCAUAUCAGAAAAUCCCGGUGGCUAUGCGAGUAAUUGCAUACGACAUUCCGCCUAACUACGCCGAUGACACUACAAGAAACCUGCUGAUCUGUGACAGAUAUAAACCGUCACAGCAGUGCGCAAAACCGUCAGGCCUUGUCCUUCGUGACGGAUUCAGAAUCUGUCAUGUAUCGCGCGUCACAAUUUGCCACCAGCACACUCCGUGA
rnacentral:rRNA from 1 species